rnacentral:rRNA from 1 species
GUAAAGCGCGCGCAGGCGGCCAUUUAAGUUGGAUGUGAAAGCCUACAGCUCAACUGUAGAACUGCAUCCAAAACUAUUUGGCUAGAGUGUGGGAGAGGAAGAUGGAAUUAGUUGUGUAGGGGUAAAAUCCGUAGAGAUAACUAGGAAUACCAAAAGCGAAGGCAAUCUUCUGGAACAUUACUGACGCUGAGGCGCGAAAGCGUGGGGAGCAAACAGGAUUAGAUACCCUGGUAGUCCACGCCCUAAACGAUGAAUGUUAGUCGUCGGGUAGCUAGUCUAUUCGGUGAUGCAGCUAACGCAUUAAACAUUCCGCCUGGGGAGUACGGUCGCAAGAUUAAAACUCAAAGGAAUAGACGGGGACCCGCACAAGUGGUGGAGCAUGUGGUUUAAUUCGAAGAUACGCGAAGAACCUUACCUAGCCUUGACAUAUUUGAGAACACUUUAGAGAUAGAGUGGUGCCUUCGGGAGCUCAUAUACAGGUGCUGCACGGCUGUCGUCAGCUCGUGUCGUGAGAUGUUGGGUUAAGUCCCGCAACGAGCGCAACCCUCGUCACUAGUUACUAACGGUUCGGCCGAGGACUCUAGUGAGACUGCCUUCGUAAGGAGGAGGAAGGUGAGGACGACGUCAAGUCAUCAUGGCCCUUACGGCUAGGGCAACACACGUGCUACAA